rnacentral:lncRNA from 1 species
ACAAAUAUAAGGUGGAUAGAGAAAAAGGAAUUGGUAAUAGAAGCAUGAUUAAUGACGAGAAUGGUGUUGGUAUUUGUAGUAGACGCGUGUUAGAUGUUGAUUAUAUUUACAAGCAGACUUUAAAAGACAUUUUGACUACCUUGUUGAAUAUGAAUUUUUCGAUAACAAAAGAGAAUAUUCAACGGUGGGGAAGCAUAGGAGGCGUAGGGGACGCUAUAAAUAACAGUAGUGGUAACGGUUUGGGUGGUAACGGUUUGGGUGGCAACGGUUUGGGUGGCAACAGUUUGAAUGGUAGUGGUUUGAAUGGUAACGGUUUGAAUGGUAGCGGUUUGGGUGGUAACGGUUUAGGUGGUAACGGUUUAGGUGGUAACGGAGGAAGUGACUUACAAAACGGUAGUAACAGUGGUAACACAGAAAAUGCAACAUACGAAAACUUGUUACUGAAUUACCUUUUCUGUACGUUACAACACUUACAUAAUAAAUAUUAUAGAAUAGAAUUGUGCAAUUAUGUAUCAAAAGAUGCAAACGAGUUAGGUCUUUAUUUUAUGGAUGAUAAAUCAAAUGAAAUAUUUUACUAUUGCUAUGACAAUUUUUUUCGUAACGAAAUGGAUAAAGAUAAUAAUACAAUUAACUUUUUUUUUUAUUUAAUUAACAUUAUGUUUCGUUGUGGUAAUUAUUUAGGAUUAUUACAGAUUAUAAAAAAUAAUAAAUUAAUAAAAAGAUUUAAUUUAGAUGAUUGUUUAAAAGAUUUUAUUAUAAUAUUAAUAAGGAUAUUGCUAUUGAUAUAUAAUAAGCGUAGUGAACGAAGCAUAUGCGAAAAUCUGGAUAUAAAAAUUGAUUGUAAUGAUGUUUUAAAAAAAAGAAUUAAUACAUCUAAUCUAAUAAAUUAUUUCCAUACGAUUCUUUUAAAAUAUUUAAAUAAUAUAUAUACCUAUGACUUAUUAUGUAUUAUUUUUGCUGAUAUAUUUUGUAAAAAAGGUAAUAUGUAUACGAAUAAAGAAAAAAAGAUUAGCAUGAAAAACAUUGGUUAUUAUUUGAAAAAGAGUAGAAAAGAAAAAAGGGAUCAAUUAGAUUUAAUACAGAAAAGAAAUAAAUUAAGAAAAAAUAAAAAAAUCGGAAGAGAAAAAAGUAAAAGUUUAGGACAAAGUGGUUUUUAUACUACUAGUGGUACUUCAGAUAAUGACAUAG